GACGAACGCUGGCGGCGUGCUUAACACAUGCAAGUCGAACGGAAAGGCCCUUCGGGGUACUCGAGUGGCGAACGGGUGAGUAACACGUGGGUGAUCUGCCCUGCACUUUGGGAUAAGCCUGGGAAACUGGGUCUAAUACCGAAUAGGACCGCGCUUCAUGGUGUGUGGUGGAAAGCUUUUGCGGUGUGGGAUGGGCCCGCGGCCUAUCAGCUUGUUGGUGGGGUAAUGGCCUACCAAGGCGACGACGGGUAGCCGGCCUGAGAGGGUGACCGGCCACACUGGGACUGAGAUACGGCCCAGACUCCUACGGGAGGCAGCAGUGGGGAAUAUUGCACAAUGGGCGCAAGCCUGAUGCAGCGACGCCGCGUGAGGGAUGACGGCCUUCGGGUUGUAAACCUCUUUCACCAGGGACGAAGCGCAAGUGACGGUACCUGGAGAAGAAGCACCGGCCAACUACGUG
rnacentral:rRNA from 1 species